ensembl:processed_transcript
UCUUCGCUCCGUCCUGACAGCGAGCCCGAGGAGCGGUGUCAUCUAAGGUCAUCUUUGCUCACCAACUGAUCAAAAAUCAAGCCCUGUUAUCUAAAAUCUGAUUUCCUGGGAGCCUUCACGAGGGACCUUUGGGAUUGAGGACGUAAGAGGUUGCCUUGAGUGUCAGAAGAGUUUUAGACUUUUGAAGUGUUAAACUGUUAAAAGACUAUGGGGACUUUUGAAGUUGGACUACAUAGUUUUGCAUCAUGAGAUGACCAUGCACUUACGUGGUCCAGAGGCCAGCUGUGGAGGUCUAGUCUGCUGGCCAUGGUCAGUCUACUACUUUCCCUCUCUGCUCUGGAUUCUGGUGUCUUCUCUCUCUGCCCGAUGCCUCUGGCUGUUCUCUCUCACAUCUACAACAAAAACCUUCUGCUUAACCAUAUCAUGGAGCAGUCAUGUUGUCAGUUUAUACAAUAAAUAUCUGGUGUAUUAUGGGCUGG